rnacentral:lncRNA from 1 species
UUUUUUCAGCCUAAUUGUUUUUUCUUUGAAAAAACUUAAGAAUUGGCGUAUCUUAGCCUCUCUUCUUGGCUUGACUAAGCCACGUCAACGUCAUCGUGAAACCACAAUUACAACCAACCACUAAAACUCCAACCAAGCUACCAAAAAUUACCUAAAUCUGUCCUUUCAUCAUAAAAUUCCACUGCCCAUAACCUCCAAAGCAUUGCCUAAUUCAUUUAAGCCAAAACUACUUUCAAAUCCAACUGAUAAGCAGCAAAAAUUACAGCAACAAUAGUUGCGAAAAACCACCAAAUCUCCAUUAUAUAAACGUCCUCUUUCCUCCAACAACACCUCCAUUCUAAUAGAAACACACAAAUAACAACCAUUUAUUUGAAUCAGCCGGUAAUUUUAAGGAUAAUUUUAUACCAAAAAUAAUUAGAGAAAUAAAAGUGAUAUAAGCCCAAACUCAUAGUCAAGAAACGAUGAAGAUAGAAGAGUGAAGAUUCCAAUAUAAUCAUUUCGUUCAGAUUUGCUCGGAGAUUAAUUUUUCGGUGAGAGAGGUCUCAUGAGAGGAGCUUUUCCGACGAGUUUCGUCACUGAUCACUUAGUGGGAAGGUGAAGGGGCCUAAUAGGAAUGACUUAUUUUCAAUUUGUUAAAUGGAAGGUGGAUUUGAAGGAAGAAGAUGAAGGGGGUGGCGUGGCGCUGGUGGGCGGAAGAAGAAGAUGAAGUUAGUUUUUU